UACAGAGGUCUCAAGCGUUGUUCGGAUUCAUUGGGCGUAAAGGGCGCGUAGGCGGCCGCUCAAGUCGGGGGUGAAAGCCUGUGGCUUAACCACAGAAUUGCCUUCGAUACUGUUUGGCUUGAGACCGGAAGAGGUUAGUGGAACUGCGAGUGUAGAGGUGAAAUUCGUAGAUAUUCGCAAGAACACCAGUGGCGAAGGCGGCUGACUGGUCCGGUUCUGACGCUGAGGCGCGAAAGCUAGGGGAGCGAACGGG
rnacentral:rRNA from 1 species